rnacentral:rRNA from 1 species
ACCCUCAUCUGCUGCGACGCCGAUGGCGUGGCACCCAUCAUUGACGCACUUGGCUGCCCCAUCAUCGACCUGCCUAUCACAUAUCUUGGCAUCCCGCUCACGAUCAAGCGUCCAUCCGCUGCCCUGCUUCAACCAAUAAUCGACAAAACUGCUGGCAUGCUGCCUACUUGGAAGGCGCGCCUCAUGAACAAAGCUGGUCGCCUCGCGUUCGUCAAGGCCGUGCUCAGCGCCAUCCCCAUCCACCAGCUGCUGGCGCUAGCACCCCCGAAGCGGAUCAUCAAGGCGCUGGAGAAGAUACAGAGGGGAUUCCUCUGGGCCGGACGCGCCGAAGCCAAUGGCGGCAAUUGCCAUGUCAAUUGGCGGCGCGUCGCAUGGCCGAUCUCGCUCGGAGGACUUGGUGUCCACGACCUGGAGCGCACAGGCCCCGCUCUUCGCACACGUUGGCUGUGGCUAAGCCGCACCGACAGCGCCAGGGCUUGGAGUGGUCUU